rnacentral:rRNA from 1 species
GGACGGGGGCGAGCGUUAUUCGGAAUUAUUGGGCGUAAAGGGCAGGUAGGCGGCGUUUGCGUGGUCCUCUGUGAAAGCCCUCGGGCUCAACCCGGGGGAAUUGCAGGGGAAACUGCAGAGCUUGAGUCCCGGGAGAGGCUAGUGGAAUUCCCAGUGUAGCGGUGAAAUGCGUAGAUAUUGGGAGGAACACCAGUGGCGAAGGCGGCUAGCUGGACCGGUACUGACGCUGAUCUGCGAAAGCUAGGGGAGCAAACGGGAUUAGAUACCCCGGUAGUCCUGGCUGUAAACGCUGAGCACUUGGUGUGGCGGGUAUCGACCCCUGCCGUGCCGGAGCUAACGCAUUAAGUGCUCCGCCUGGGGAGUACGGUCGCAAAGGCUG